rnacentral:rRNA from 1 species
CGGCAACAGCUCAAAUUUGAAACCUGCCAACAGGCCGGAUUGUAAUUUGUAGAGGAUGCUUUGGAGUUGGCUCUGAUCUAAGUUUCUUGGAACAGAACGUCACAGAGGGUGAGAAUCCCGUACGUGGUCGGUUGCCUUCUCUAUGUAAAGCUCCUUCGAC